rnacentral:rRNA from 1 species
GGAUUAGAUACCCUGGUAGUCCACGCCGUAAACGAUGAGUGCUAGAUGUCGGGGUUUAGGCUUCGGUGUCGCAGCUAACGCAUUAAGCACUCCGCCUGGGGAGUACGGCCGCAAGGUUAAAACUCAAAGGAAUUGACGGGGGCCCGCACAAGCGGUGGAGCAUGUGGUUUAAUUCGACGCAACGCGCAGAACCUUACCAGCUCUUGACAUGGGAAGUAUGAUUACCGGAGACGGUUUUCUUCAGUUCGGCUGGCUUCCACACAGGUGCUGCAUGGCUGUCGUCAGCUCGUGCUG